rnacentral:rRNA from 1 species
UAGGGAAUCUUCCACAAUGGGCGCAAGCCUGAUGGAGCAACGCCGCGUGUGUGAUGAAGGGUUUCGGCUCGUAAAACACUGUUGUAAGAGAAGAAUGACAUUGAGAGUAACUGUUCAAUGUGUGACGGUAUCUUACCAGAAAGGAACGGCUAAAUACGUGCUAG